rnacentral:rRNA from 1 species
AAUGAACGCUGGCGGCAGGCCUAACACAUGCAAGUCGAACGAGUGGCGGACGGGUGAGUAAUCGCGGGGGAACUGCCCGAUGGAGGGGGCUAACUCCUGGAAACGGUAGCUAAUACCGCAUAACAUAGGAUGUGGCCGGCUGGGAUUAGCUAGUGGGUGGGGUAACGGCUCACCUAGGAGACGAUCCCUAGCUGGUCGGAGGGGAUGAGCGGCCACACGGGAUCUGAGGCACGGUCCAGACUCCUACGCUAGGCAGCAGUGGGGAAUCUUGCACAAUGGGCGAAGGCCGGAUGCAGCAAAGCCGCGUGUAUUAAGAAGGCCUUCGGGUUGUAAAGUACUUUCAGCUAGGAGGCGUUACUCGCAGAAGAAGCCCCGGCUAACUCCGUGCCAGCAGCCGCGGUAAUUC